rnacentral:lncRNA from 1 species
AUCCCUCAAAAUUUCACCAUUAAAUUUCAAAAUUGAUUCAAGAAUUAGAAUCCCCAAACUAAGAUCUUCAAGAAUCAUCCAUCAAAAGCACAAAUAGAGUCCCAAAAGCAAGUGUUUAUCCAAAGUUCAUAAUCUAAGGUACGUGGAGUUUAUCCUAAAAACUACAUGGGCUUGUAAACACUAGAACAUGAUUUAAAGAUUAUCAAACAUGAAUUUAGAAAAGGGGUUUUUAAAUACAUGAUUUUAUUAUACAUAAUGAAUGUUUAAUUAUACUGUUGAUUUGGU